rnacentral:rRNA from 1 species
UCCGCAAUGGACGAAAGUCUGACGGAGCGACGCCGCGUGCGGGAUGAAGGCCCUUGGGUUGUAAACCGCUGUCAGAGGGGAUGAAAUCUUCGGAGGUACUCCUCCGAAGUUGACAGAGCCUCAAAGGAAGUACGGGCUAAGUUCGUGCCAGCAGCCGCGGUAAGACGAACCGUACAAACGUUAUUCGGAAUCACUGGGCUUAAAGGGUGCGUAGGCUGCGCGGUAAGUUGGGUGUGAAAGCCCUCGGCUCAACCGAGGAACUGCGCUCAAAACUACCGUGCUGGAGGGAGACAGAGGUGAGCGGAACUCAGGGUGGAGCGGUGAAAUGCGUUGAUAUCCUGAGGAACACCGGUGGCGAAGGCGGCUCACUGGGUCUCUUCUGACGCUGAGGCACGAAAGCCAAGGUAGCAAACGGGAUUAGAUACCCCGGUAGUCUUGGCUGUAAACGAUGAGCACUUGAUUGAAGGGUCCUCCAUAGCCUUUCAGUCGUAGCGAAAGUGUUAAGUGCUCCGCCUGGGGAGUAUGGUCGCAAGGCUGAAACUCAAAGAA